rfam:Brassica napus, WGS project CCCW01000000 data, contig: 4990
GUAAUAUAAGAAUUCGUCUCUUAACUUUUAACUAAAAAAGCUAAAAACCAGCUCUUAAAUAAGAGUUUUAAAAAACCGGUUCUUAACUUUUUUAGUUAAAAGUUAAGAGAUAGAUUUUUAUAUUCC